CAGAGCGUAGCUUAGUAGGAUAGCACCUCCCUUACACCGAGGAGACACCCGUGCAACCCGGGUCGCACUGA
rnacentral:tRNA from 1 species